ensembl:lncRNA
CGAAUGAUGACGACAUCAUCACGAUGCGCGCGACGCAGCAAAUAGGAGCCGGUAAUGAGAGCGUGUCCAAUUAGAGAACCAACACCGCGGGCGUCCUCCUUUGCACUGGAGCCAUUGAUGUCACAUGACCUGCAUCACAUGACAUCGGAUCUGAGCUGACGGCGUCUCACGUGUUUGACGAGAACUAGCCCUGCUGGUUCACCGUGAGCUCAGAAGAAUUCUUGAUUAUAUUAAGAAGGAAAGAAAAUGGAAAAAUGGCAAGGAACAUGGUAUUAUUCGGCAUCUCUAAUGUUAGUUCUUUCAAAGCAAAUAUGAAUUCUUCCAAAAUUCUUGUUUGUGUUUCUCAGUUGGGCGGGAAGUCUGGCUUUCUUCAAUGAUGUUCAAUAAAUAAGUUCAAAA